rnacentral:rRNA from 1 species
ACAAGUCGAACGCUGAAGCCCCAGCUUGCUGGGGUGGAUGAGUGGCGAACGGGUGAGUAACUCGUGAGUAACCUGCCCCUGACUUCGGGAUAAGCCCGGGAAACUGGGUCUAAUACCGGAUACGACCUGUCCUCGCAUGAGGGUGGGUGGAAAGUUUUUUCGGUUGGGGAUGGGCUCGCGGCCUAUCAGUUUGUUGGUGAGGUAAUGGCUCACCAAGACGACGACGGGUAGCCGGCCUGAGAGGGCGACCGGCCACACUGGGACUGAGACACGGCCCAGACUCCUACGGGAGGCAGCAGUGGGGAAUAUUGCACAAUGGGGGAAACCCUGAUGCAGCGACGCAGCGUGCGGGAUGACGGCCUUCGGGUUGUAAACCGCUUUCAGCAGGGAAGAAGCGAAAGUGACGGUACCUGCAGAAGAAGUACCGGCUAACUACGUGCCAGCAGCCGCGGUAAUACGUAGGGUACGAGCGUUGUCCGGAAUUAUUGGGCGUAAAGAGCUCGUAGGUGGUUGGUCACGUCUGCUGUGGAAACGCAACGCUUAACGUUGCGCGUGCAGUGGGUACGGGCUGACUAGAGUGCAGUAGGGGAGUCUGGAAUUCCUGGUGUAGCGGUGAAAUGCGCAGAUAUCAGGAGGAACACCGGUGGCGAAGGCGGGACUCUGGGCUGUAACUGACACUGAGGAGCGAAAGCAUGGGGAGCGAACAGGAUUAGAUACCCUGGUAGUCCAUGCCGUAAACGUUGGGCACUAGGUGUGGGGGGACAUUCCACGUUCUCCGCGCCGUAGCUAACGCAUUAAGUGCCCCCGCCUGGGGGAGUACGGUCGCAAGGCUAAACUCAAAGGGAAUUUGACGGGGGCCCGCACAAGCGGCGGGAGCAUGCG